rnacentral:rRNA from 1 species
CACGUAAGGGGCGAGCGUUGUUCGGAAUUAUUGGGCGUAAAGGGCACGCAGGCGGUUAUACAAGUCCGAUGUGAAAGACCUGGGCUUAACUCAGGGGCCGCGUUGGAAACUGUAUGACUAGAGUAUUAGAGGGGGAGUCGGAAUUCCUAGUGUAGGGGUGAAAUCUGUUGAUAUUAGGAAGGACACCGGUGGCGAAGGCGGACUCCUGGCUGAAUACUGACGCUGAGGUGCGAAAGCAUAGGGAGCAAACAGG